UACGUAGGGUGCAAGCGUUAUCCGGAAUUAUUGGGCGUAAAGAGCUCGUAGGCGGUUUGUCGCGUCUGCUGUGAGAACUGGAGGCUCAACCUCCAGCCUGCAGUGGGUACGGGCAAACUAGAGUGCGGUAGGGGAGAUUGGAAUUCUUGGUGUAGCAGUGAAAUGCGUAGAUAUCAAGAGGAACACCAGUGGCGAAGGCGAGUCCCUGGACAACACCUGACACUGAGGCACGAAAGCUAGGGGAGCAAACAGG
rnacentral:rRNA from 1 species